rnacentral:rRNA from 1 species
CCGACACCAUGCCGUCUGAAUGAUAAAAUUUUCAGAUGAGUAGGAGGACGUGGUGAUCGUGACGAAGUAUGUGUGCGAACACGUAUAGAACGAUCACUAGUGCAGAUCUUGGUGGUAGUAGCAAAUAUUCAAGCGAGAUCCCUGAAGGGCGAAGCGGGGAAGGGUUCCACGCUAACAUUGAUUGGGCGUGGGUGAGUCGUUCCUAAGCCGAGUGGCAAUUGCUAAGUAACGGCGAAAGGGAAGCAGGUUUACAUUCCUGCACACGGAUGUGGAGGCGGUGACGCUUUAUUGAGGCGAACACAUUGGCGAUGGCGCUAGGCAGAGUUGUCUUUUCUGUUUAACCGUUUGUAUAUAUUGUGUGGAGUCCGAUUAUCGGGAGAAACACAUAUAUACGGGCAGAGCGCCGGGGCUUAUCCGGCGUCUAGCUCGCCAUCGACGAUCCUUGAAACUUUGCCUGCUGAAAUUUUAAUAUCCACGCCGUGGCGUACCGAUCACCGCAUCAGGUCCCCGAGGUGAACAGCCUCUGCUCAAUAUGAAAAAUGCAGGUAAGGGAAGUCGGCAAAUUAGACCCGUAACUUUGGGAAAAGGGUUGGCUCUAGUGCUGCGUGGGAGUGGUUGUCAUGUUGUGGUGUUAUUGAUACUGUUGAUAUGGCGUGAUACUUCGGUAUUGUUCUUUUCGACUGGUGUUGAUAAUACUACUCU